CAGAUGUGAGCUGGGAAGAAAACAGGUGAAUGGACAGAUGGGAGCAGGAGGAUGCUCUGAUGAGCAGGUUUGCAGAGGCUCAACUGUGUGCUCAGGGUUGUCCUAUUGACAGCAGAGCCCAACAUGUCAAUACAAAGGAGGGAAGAUGAAAAGCAACGCUCCAUCUGAAAUGGGUUAGAAAAGCUAAGUCUGAGAAUAGCAAACCAUUGCCGCAGGGUGAGGAUCCGGGCCAGGGCUGGGGACCAUCGAUGAGUUUCUGCUGCCAUCCUGUGGCUGUGAUCCGCGCUGCUUUGCCUGAGCCUGGAACAACCUUGCCAGUACAGACGUCAAAGCAGGAUGAGGAUGGCCUCAAGUUGUGCUGGGGGAGAUUCAGAGGCCUCUGCCUGGGGUCCCAAACAGAGCUCAUCUUUCUCCAGGAGACUGAGUUAAGUCUGACUCCAAACACACAGAGAAAAAGCAUCAGCAAUGGACUGGACAGCUUUGUUCCUAAAGGUCUGUCAUGCCUUUCCUCCUCCUCCUCUUGUGGGCAGGCAGAAGCAUAGUUUCUCUGUUGUGGGAAUGGGGAAUGGGAUGUGGUGUGAUGUUCACUCUUCUUGAGAGCUGAUCUUGGCUGGCCCUGCACCAGAAGGUGCGAUGGUGGAGCUGGUGAGCCUGCACUUUGUUGUUCUCAAUCUGGAGACCUUGAGAGUGUGAAGCAGUGGCUGCUGCUCUGACUGCUGGGGAAAGCAGAAAUUGUAGACUCACAGAAUCACUGAGGUUGAAAAAGACCCCUAAGAUCACAAAGUCUAGCCCCAACUCAUCUCACUGCAUCCCUCAGUGCCACGUCUCCAUGGUUCUUGGACAUCACCAGGGAUAGUGAUUGCUCCACCUUUCUGUGCAGCCUGUGCUGGUGCCUCACUACUCUUUAUAAGAACAAAUGCUUCUGGAUACUCAACCUGAACCUCCUCAGUGUGAGACCAUCUCCUCCCAUUGUGUUCCCUGGGAGAAGAGUCCAACCCCCACCUUGCCACAACCUUCUUUCUGAGAGCUGCGGUGAGCGAUGAGGUCUCCCCUGAGAUGCACCUCCAUCCUCCUGGGCUACAAACUCUUUCUUAUCCUGUUUCUCUGAGUCACACCCCCACCACCC
rnacentral:lncRNA from 1 species